UACGAAGGGGGCUAGCGUUGCUCGGAAUCACUGGGCGUAAAGCGCACGUAGGCGGAUUGCUAAGUCAGGGGUGAAAUCCUGGAGCUCAACUCCAGAACUGCCUUUGAUACUGGCGGUCUCGAGUCCGGGAGAGGUGAGUGGAACUGCGAGUGUAGAGGUGAAAUGCGUAGAGAUCCGGAGGAACACCAGUGGCGAAGGCGACACGCUGGGCCGUACCUGACACUGAUGCGCGACAGCAUGGGGAGCAAACAGG
rnacentral:rRNA from 1 species